rnacentral:rRNA from 1 species
GGAGGAAAAGAAACUAACAAGGAUUCCCCUAGUAACUGCGAGUGAAGCGGGAAAAGCUCAAAUUUAAAAUCUGGUAGCCUUCGGUUGCCCGAGUUGUAGUCUGGAGAAGCGUCUUCCGCGCUGGACCGUGUACAAGUCUCUUGGAACAGAGCGUCAUAGAGGGUGAGAAUCCCGUCUUUGACACGGACUACCAGUGCUUUGUGAUGCGCUCUCAAAGAGUCGAGUUGUUUGGGAAUGCAGCUCAAAAUGGGUGGUAAAUUCCAUCUAAAGCUAAAUAUUGGCGAGAGACCGAUAGCGAACAAGUACCGUGAGGGAAAGAUGAAAAGCACUUUGGAAAGAGAGUUAAACAGUACGUGAAAUUGCUGAAAGGGAAACGAUUGAAGUCAGUCGCGUCUUCUAGUACUCAGCCUUCCUUUUGGUUGGUGCAUUUACUAGUCGACGGGCCAGCAUCAGUUUUGGCUGCGGGAUAAAGGUCAGAGGAAUGUGGCACCUUCGGGUGUGUUAUAGCCUCUGGUCAUAUACCGUGGCUGGGACUGAGGAUCUCAGCACGCCUUUAUGGCGGGGGUUCGCCCACCUUCGUGCUUCGGAUGCUGGCGUAAUGGCUUUAAACGACCCGUCUUGAAACACGGACCAAGGAGUCUAACAUGCCUGCGAGUGUUUGGGUGGAAAACCCGAGCGCGUAAUGAAAGUGAAAGUUGGGAUCUCUGUCGUGGAGAGCACCGACGCCCGGACCAGACCUUCUGUGACGGAUCCGCGGUAGAGCAUGUAUGUUGGGACCCGAAAGAUGGUGAACUAUGCCUGAAUAGGGUGAAGCCAGAGGAAACUCUGGUGGAGGCUCGUAGCGAUUCUGACGUGCAAAUCGAUCGUCAAAUUUGGGUAUAGGGGCGAAAGACUAAUCGAACCAUCUAGUAGCUGGUUCC